GGCGAACGCUGGCGGCGUGCUUAACACAUGCAAGUCGAACGGAAAGGCCCUGCUUUUGUGGGGUGCUCGAGUGGCGAACGGGUGAGUAACACGUGAGUAACCUGCCCUUGACUUUGGGAUAACUUCAGGAAACUGGGGCUAAUACCGGAUAGGAGCUCCUGCUGCAUGGUGGGGGUUGGAAAGUUUCGGCGGUUGGGGAUGGACUCGCGGCUUAUCAGCCUGUUGGUGGGGUAGUGGCUUACCAAGGCUUUGACGGGUAGCCGGCCUGAGAGGGUGACCGGCCACAUUGGGACUGAGAUACGGCCCAGACUCCUACGGGAGGCAGCAGUGGGGAAUAUUGCACAAUGGGCGGAAGCCUGAUGCAGCAACGCCGCGUGCGGGAUGACGGCCUUCGGGUUGUAAACCGCUUUCGCCUGUGACGAAGCGUGAGUGACGGUAAUGGGUAAAGAAGCACCGGCUAACUACGUG
rnacentral:rRNA from 1 species